rnacentral:snoRNA from 1 species
AUGCCUUGUUAUUCAGCAGGUAGACACAACUCCAUGUGUGUCUCAAUUGAACAACGGGGCUAGAAGAGCAACAGGUUGUGCUUUCCUCACUGUAACACCCAUUGCAGUGGUGACAAUGAGACCUGUGACAGGU